UACGAAGGGGGCUAGCGUUGUUCGGAUUUACUGGGCGUAAAGCGCACGUAGGCGGAUCGUUAAGUCGGGGGUGAAAUCCUGGAGCUCAACUCCAGAACUGCCUUCGAUACUGGCGAUCUUGAGUCCGGAAGAGGUGAGUGGAACUCCUAGUGUAGAGGUGGAAUUCGUAGAUAUUAGGAAGAACACCAGUGGGCGAAGGCGGCUCACUGGUCCGGUACUGACGCUGAGGUGACGAAAGGCGUGGGGAGCAAACAGG
rnacentral:rRNA from 1 species